AGACCUAUUAAGAAUAGAAUUUCUUGUAGGCUUUGUGGACCAAGGGGAUUAGCACUGCUUUCCCAAGACAGGUUAUGUGAUUAUGAUCUUCAGGCUUUGCCUAUCCAGGUGGGCAUUACUUUUACUAUACGUAUAUAGAGAUCCCCUGCGUGUCGUAGGCCUCUUAUACGAAUAUAUGCAUGAGAUGAUUUUAACUGUUAAUUUCAUAUUAUUAUUAUGCCCAAAUGAUAAAUGACUCUUAUGAAAUGAAAAUGAAAUGUUUAUGAAAUGAAAUGAAAUGUUUAUGAAAUGAUUGACUGCCAAAAAUGUUUAUGUUUUUAUAUGUAUCCUAUCUGUGUUGGUUCGCCAACUUUAAAGGAAAUCCAAUUGGGAUCCUAUGCUAGACAAAGGUCGCUAGCUAGGGUUAACGUGUACACUCAUGGAGACCGCGAGUCGCUUGCGACCGGUCUUGGCGUCCGUGGUAAGGAGGCCUCCUUCCCGGCGCGUGACAGAAAGGAACAGAUAUGGAUCAUAUGAAGGAAAAUGAUCGGCCG
rnacentral:lncRNA from 1 species